GCUGGCGGCAGGCUUCCACAUGCAAGGAAAGCGCCCCGCAAGGGGAGCGGCAGACGGGAGAGUAACACGUGUUUACGUACCCUUCGGUGCAGAACAACCCAGGGAAACUUGGGCUAAUACCGGAUACGUCCGAAAGGAGAAAGAUUUAUCGCCGAGGGAUCGGCCCGCGUCUGAUUAGCUAGUUGGUGGGGUAACGGCCCACCAAGGCGACGAUCAGUAGCUGGUCUGAGAGGAUGAUCAGCCUCACUGGGACUGAGACACGGCCCAGACUCCUACGGGAGGCAGCAGUGGG
rnacentral:rRNA from 1 species